rnacentral:lncRNA from 1 species
CACCAAAACUCAGAAACCGUAAGUCGUAGACACCUAGGAUCUUCACCAAUCAUCAUCAAUUCAUGUAUCUUUAAAAAAUACCUCAAGGUCAAAUUUGUAUGUUGACCUUGACCUUUGACCUAACACCUUGUUAUGGGAUAAUCUCAGAAACCAUUAUACUUACAGAAGUUUUAAAUAGUGGAAAAUGUUUGGGUCAUUACGGCGCAACUUUGUUACAUUUUAACCGAAGAGAUUUGACCUUUCUAUAAGGGGCAUAACCCCUGUUUUAGGUUUCUGAAAAGAC